GCUCUAUUGGUUAAGUGGCCAACUUUUGAUUUUAACACAGGUCAUGACCCCAGGGCUGUGAGUUCAAGUCUCACACUGAGCU
rnacentral:tRNA from 1 species